UCAGUGAAAUUGAAAGAGCGGUGAAGAUGCCGUUUAACAAAUACAGGACAAAAAGACCCCAUGAAGCUUUACUGGAUCUUUACAUUGAUGAGGAAAUAAAUAUUGUCGAGUGUAGGAGGGAGGGACGUAACGCGCAAGCGUGUACGUUCCGCCAAUGGAACACCUCCCUUGUUUAUUUCUAACUCUUACCCAUAUGUGGCAAACCCACAGGGGAACAGUGUAUGGUUGCUAGUUUGCCUGGGGCAGGCACCUGCAAAAAAGUAACGCGGGUACACAAAGGUUGACUUGGUCCGGUUGGAAAUCGGACUGUAAGCGCAAAAGCAUANNNNNNNNNNNNNNNGAGACAUACAAGUCGAACUCGCCUCAUCGGCGAGGUUCCAACCAAUUUUGAGUUUGGAAACAGGGUCGAAAGACGGUUUUAGUGAUCCUCGUGACCCAUUUGGUAUGGGCACGGGCUUACUGGAUAAAAGCUACUCUGGGGAUAACA
rnacentral:rRNA from 1 species